UACGAAGGGGGCUAGCGUUGUUCGGAAUUAUUGGGCGUAAAGCGUACGUAGGCGGACACUUAAGUCAGGUGUGAAAUCCCAGAGCUCAACUCUGGAACUGCCUUUGAUACUGGGUGUCUUGAGUAUGGAAGAGGUGAGUGGAAUUCCGAGUGUAGAGGUGAAAUUCGUAGAUAUUCGGAGGAACACCAGUGGCGAAGGCGGCUCACUGGUCCAUUACUGACGCUGAGGUACGAAAGCGUGGGGAGCAAACAGG
rnacentral:rRNA from 1 species